GCGCUUUCUUUGACAGCACAUAUGCUAAAAUUGGAAUGAUACAGAGAUCAGCGUGGCCCCAUGCAAGGAGGACUUGCAAAUUCAUGAAGUGGUCCAUGUGUUU